UUCUCCCUCCUCCCCCUUCUCCUUACAGGGACAAAACUUGGUUGCAGAGGCAGUGAUAGCAGCUGCCCGGUAAAGGGCAAGCAGGAACGCUUUGUCCUCAUCAGAUCGUGCAUUGAGGAAGCUAUGCUCCUCUUCCUCUUGCAUCACCGCCUCUGUUAUCAGAAACCGUAACUUUUUUGCUUAGAGCAAGAUACAUUUCCCCUUUUGUAUCAUGAUAUUUAAUAAAAUAUUCGAAAACAGCCCAACACAGAGCCAUUCCUUUCCUUUACAAUAAUUUUUCAUUCUAUUCUACAACAGCAGCACCAUCACCUACAAUAACAGCAGCAGCUAUAUAUAACAUCAGCCGCAGCAGCAGAAGCUGCUAUUAAUCAUUUAGAGGAGGCAUAACAACCAAAACUGAGCGAUGCAUAUUCUGCAAUAGAGCUUGCAUUGGAAUCAGUAGUCAAAAUUCUUACUGUUUCAAGUAGCCCCAAUUACUUCCUCCCAUAGCAAAAUAAGUCCCAGCGUGAAACCAUGGGUUCUGGAAAAAGCUAGCCAUUUGCCAUUUCUAAGACAACAACAUGUGAGCUGCUUCUCCUUCUCGUUUGCUGCAAAUUCUCUUCAAAACUUAUCUCACAAAUGGUCAUAUAAUUAUUUAACUCUGAGUAAGUUUUUAUAGCCUCCAUCUAUUUGAUUUAUAGUAUUUUCUUUACUUAUGUUUAUUGAAGAGUUAGGGUUAGGAUUUAUAUGAUAUGUGAAUGAUUUUGUUGAAAUAAUUCGUAUAUAUGUAAUAUUAUGUGCACAUCGAUAUGAAUUGAUAUGGGACUUUGCUUCAUUAGUGUGUUCGAUGAAUUUUGGGUAAGAACUCAAUUAGCUUUAGUAUUAGAAAGAAAAUAGAUAAAUAUAUAAGAAUUAUAUAGAAAGAUUUAUGUUGAAAUUCUGGAAAAUCUAUUAAGGUUGAAAAUGGUAAAAUCACAGUUUGGUCCCUGGAUUUUUGAAAAUUAUGAUUUUGUUCUUAAAUUGUGAGAAUUACACUUUAGUCCCUGCUUGUAAAUAACAGUUGAUGAUGUAUUAUCAAAUUUUAUUGUUAUACUUUGAAUUGGAAUUUGAUUCUAUUAUGUAUUGAAAUGUGUUUGGUUAUUCUGGAAGCCCCACAUACUGCUUCUUUGUAAGAAAUUGGUUGAAGACUGUGGUUGCAUACUUGUUGAAUAGCUAUGAGUAAUUUAUAUAAAUUAUAUCUUUAAGAAUAAUGUUUAUGAUAUAUGUGUGUGCAUAUGAAUUGUGAUAUAUGCAUUUUGGUAUCAUUUGAUGGGGAUAUUGAUGUGUGCACACAGAGCGUGCAAAUGAUGUAUUUGAUUUGUGCAUGCGGAGUGUGCAGAUAAUGUAUUUGGUGUGACCAACCAUCACACAACUUCAAAAUGUUGUACCAAUUAUGUGAAUUGGUGUACUUUAGGAAUAGUGUGAUAGGUUAUGCAUUAGUAUGAAAAUACAUUGAAUAAACCAUUAUAUCUGUGUUUGAACAUACCAUUCUUAGAUACAUUUAUAUUGAUUAGUUACUUAGUUGUGAAAACUCAUUCCUUUGUGCAAUUAUCAUUAUUUCAGGCAUAUAAACUUUAAAGCAAGAAAAAGUUGGAUGUCUGUUUAAAGUUAUAUGUUGAUUUGUUGUGUGAGCUUGCUUUUGUAUAUCUUGGAGACUUUGUUUGUAUUUCAUAUUUCAAUUGUAUAAAGAUAUGAUGUAAACUUUGUAAUUUCUAUAGAUUGAGUGUAUGUUUUGAAAUGGUUGUACAGAGGAAUGGAUGGUUUAUAUUAAUGUGAUUAUGUUGUUUAGUUAUUUAAAUCUUUUCUGUUUAGAAGAUGUUCUAGUUUGACAGGUUGAGGCUUAACAUGGUCAAAGUAGUAGUUAUAUGCUCACAAUCAUGUGCCGGUCACCUACUGAUUUUGGGGCGUGACACGUGACA